AUCCUCCCACCGCUUUCUCCUUCCCCCUCUUUCCUCUCUGUGGCUCUGGCAAGGACCACUCCCAUUGCAUCCAACACCGGCCUCCAAUUGUGGGUCCUGCAACCCUGGUUCCAGUCUGGCAAGCAUUGUAGACCUGGCUGCUGAAGACUGACGGGGCCCAGGGUCCGCUGCCCCCACCGCCAUCACCACCUCGGAACCCAGGGUAACGCUGUCAGUCUUUGAUGAUGUCAGAAGUGGGAUCCAAAGUAGAGCUUAUAAUGACACCUAGGAGUGCUGAGUGACCAAGCAAGGUACCCACCAGGCCGAUUAUGUCCAUUGUUCUCUUGGAGCAGCUGGUCAUCAUGUGAAGAGUAGAGGAAUGAAAAUGAGAACCCUAGACUCUUCUGGAUUUUAAUGUCAUCUUGUAAGUGGGAUAUAGUGUUAAAAGCUUUACAGACAUUCUCAUUUAAUCCUCAUAGCAGCUCUGUGACUUAAGGUAAGUGAAAUUAUGGACACUUUCUUUUCUUGCAGGUUUUCGAUAUAAGCAUGCAGCACUUUUAUAAUCAGAAAAACAGCAAAUAUAUACACAAAAAAUCCCUUCUUUCUCUCUCUACAAAAUUAAGACCACAAUAUUGUUUCAAUAUUUUGCUUUUUCAUUGUACUCAUCUCAUGUGCAGCUCUCCAUGUCAUUAAAUCUUCUUUUAAAAAAUGGUUUAGACAAUAAAUCCAUUUAUGAAGGUAAAAUGUUUUUAUUUAUACUUAUGUUAUAGAUCAUGUAGGAUAAAUAGUGGACUAUCAAAAGGAAUAUUACAAAUAUUUAAUAUUACUAUUAAAAAUCAUGUUUUCAGAGUAUUUAACAAUCUUGGAAAAUGUUCAUGAUAUACAUGAAAAACACAAGUUAUAAAAGUAUGAAAUAUGCUCCCAAUUUUAUAAAAUAUAAGUACAGGUUUAUUAAUAGGAGAGAAAACAGUAUUGUUAACAUUUUGGUGCAGUCUGGAUGGUAAAAUUAAUGGUAGUUUCGUCUUUUAUUUCACUGAAUUUUAGAAGAUCUCCACAAUGUCAGUACAUGACCUUUACAUUCUGACAAAAAAAAAAAAAAUAAAAAUAAUUACUAGAAAUGAUCAGGUAGAAAAUAUAAAACAGAUUUUGGAUUAAGAUGGUGGUCUGUAAAUUGUACACAGGGUUUUUAUUCUCAUCUUAAAUAUCUUAAACUGAAAGAAAAUAAUUUGUAUGCACAAACUCUUUCUGGGUGUGCGUGUGUUUUACAUUUUUUUUUUUUUUAAGUGAGGAAUUCCUGGAAGACAGAAAGCAGAUGGAGCCACUGUGUAGGAGGCUGGCGGGCAGCAGACCGCCAGAAAGGAGGAGGAGGGGAGUCGGCCUGUCUGGCUGGCGUUUGAGGGAAACGGUCGAGGGGCGGAGGAGGAAAUGAAAGAGAGGGCGCGUGUGUCAAUACAAACUGAACACGGGCACGCGCGCUGACCAGCCCGGCUGCCGCCCGCAGAGCGGAAGGCGGGAUGGCUGGGGGCGGGGCCAAGGCUCAGGCGGGCUCAGAGGGGGCGGGUUCCCUGCGCCGCAAAGACCCGGUCGCCAGAGUGAAGCCAAGCCAGCUAGCGCUGCGAAGCCCAGGCCGCGCGGACUCCCCAGAGACUUGCCGCCGCCUGCGCCUUUGCCGCUGCAGCCAUCCCUCUUACUCCUUGCCUUUCGUCCCCGUCGUCUCCUCUGCCGCCGUGCCGCAGCCGCACCAGCAUCGACAACAGCUAAGUGGCCGAUUCGGGGACUUGGGGUCGGGGUUGGGGCGGACGCAAGGCACGAACAGCACUCGCGAGCCCGCCAUCUCUACGUCAGCCGCCACUGCUGCAGUAACCCUUCUAGGGCGAGAGAGGAAAGCACUGUGGAGAGGCACACGCUGUCCCAGUGCUCACGGUUAGAGUUCGAGCGUUUCUGCCAAAACCUUGGUGAGAGCCUUGCACUUGGAGAAGGGAGCACAGACCAGGUCUUUGAGAUCGCAAAAAAUAUAUAUAUCAUAUUGCAUAGUGUUGACUUUUUGUCAGUUUAAUCGACCAGGGCAGCAGCUUUCCCCAAGCCCUCUUAAUCCCUGAGCUAUGUCUCCUCCAACCGUGCCUCCGAUGGGGGUAGAUGGCGUGUCCGCAUACCUGAUGAAGAAAAGGCACACCCACAGGAAGCAACGGCGCAAGCCCACUUUCCUCACUCGUAGGAACAUCGUGGGCUGCCGCAUUCAACACGGCUGGAAGGAAGGCAACGAGCCAGUGGAGCAGUGGAAGGGUACUGUGCUCGAGCAGGUUUCCGUGAAGCCCACUCUUUACAUCAUUAAAUAUGAUGGCAAAGAUAGUGUGUAUGGACUAGAACUGCACCGCGAUAAGAGAGUUUUAGCGCUAGAGAUCCUUCCUGAGAGAGUGCCAACUCCUCGUAUCGAUUCACGACUGGCAGAUUCCCUGAUUGGCAAGGCAGUGGAGCAUGUGUUUGAAGGUGAACAUGGUACCAAGGAUGAAUGGAAGGGUAUGGUCCUGGCGCGAGCUCCUGUGAUGGAUACUUGGUUUUACAUCACCUACGAGAAAGAUCCUGUUCUCUAUAUGUACACGCUGCUUGAUGACUACAAAGAUGGUGACUUACGCAUUAUUCCAGAUUCCAACUACUAUUUCCCUACAGCAGAACAGGAGCCUGGAGAGGUGGUCGACAGUCUCGUGGGCAAGCAGGUGGAGCAUGCCAAAGAUGACGGGUCCAAGAGAACUGGCAUUUUUAUACAUCAAGUGGUGGCGAAGCCAUCUGUUUACUUCAUUAAGUUUGAUGAUGAUAUUCACAUUUAUGUCUAUGGUUUGGUGAAAACUCCUUAAAUUCUUUGUGCUCUUUAGAGAAGUUGUGGAUCUGUUAGAUGUGAAUUAUUUUGUGUUCUCGUAGUUGUGAACGCAGAGAAGAGUUUAGGUGUCAGAAAUUCAGGAAAGUGGAUAAAUUUUAUUGUGCCAACAAAUCUUACCUUGACUAGUUUCACAAUUUUGCCUCAAGUGUACUUUGCUACUUUUGAUAUUGCCUUGUUCUGUAACUUAACAGUUAAAUUGGGUGCUAAUAGAAAAUUAAAAAGUGUUUGCAACCAUUGGAACAAUGCAAAAAUAGAUUAAGAAAAAUUAAUGGUGUAAACCCACACCCCGUCCUUACCCCUUCCUUUCCUUACCUUGUUUCUUCCCAGAAAACAAGUGUUGAGGAUGCGAAGUACAUCCUUCCACCUAUUUUCCCCAUCUUCAUGCAGAAAGUAUGUUCUAGUAGUUUCUGUAAAAAUGGCAAGCCACAUGCUUUUCUCACUUGACAUGUAGAUGAUAUCUCUUCUUAUCAGUAGCUUCAGUCUUUCUUGCUCUCUCUGGCUCUCUCUGGCCCUCACUCUUACUCUCUUGCACUCUUGCUCUCCCCCUCCCUCCCUUACUCUAACAGCUGAAUACACAGUACUUGUUGAUGUACCAAAAAGGCAUUCAACCAUUUCGUUAUUGAUCGUCUUUUAUUUCCUUUUUUUAUUUUUUUUCAAAAUAACACUGCUGUAAUACAUACUGGUGCUUUUAUUUAUAUAGGUUGGAUUCCCAGAAAUACUAUGUAGGCAUAUGUUUCAGAAAUAUUACAAGAUUACUAUCCAAAAUGAAAGCGCCCGUUCCAGCGUCCUCUCCAGCACUCUUUAAUGCUUGAAAAUAUGAAAGGCUAAAAAUUGCAUUGUAUUGCUUGUUAGUUUAAUUGCCUUUUGUCUGAGUUCAAAGAGGUUUGUUGUUGUUGCUGUCCUUGUUUCUGUUUGGAUUUUUCUCUGAUUUGCCUGUUCUUACCCUUUGCUCAUGUAUCUAUUGAUGUUUUUCAUUAUAAAUUUGUAGAAAUUCUUACUACAUAGUGCAUAUUAAUCAUUUGUAGCUCUAAUGUGUUAUGACGUUUUCAUCUUGACUUUAUUGAUGAUAUAUUUUCCUUUAAAAUUUUUAAACUUUUUAGGUAGACCCUUAUCUCUUUUAUAGAUUUUGGUUUCCUUUUUUUAUCACAUGGAUGCCCCCACCCAAAGUCAUACAAAUAUUCACCUACAUUUUCUUCUAAUAACUUUAUUAUUUUUAAUGUUUAAAUGUUUGAUCCAUCUGAAAUUUAUUUUUGUAUAUGGUGUAAGAUGGGGAUCCAGCUAUAACAUUUUGUUCACAUUGGAUACCUGAUUGUGACAUUUAUUUAAAAUGUUACCCAUUUUCAAAUUUCUGAGCCAAUAUCAUGAUUUAAUUAUAGUGGCUUCAUCGUAAGUUUUAGAAUCCGAUAAAGCAAGUCCCACUUCAUUAGUUUUUUUUUUCUUUAUAUAAUAUGUCCUAGACAUUCAUUUUUUCAUGUGAAAAAAUGAAAUGCAGAAUUUUAAUAAAAUUCUAAUUAUGAUGGCUGACAUCACAAUUAAAAUCCUGCAUUUUUGUUUAGAGGGCUCUUUAAUAAUAUUAAAUCUUAGCACUCAAGAGUCUUCGUACAUCAUUGAAAUCUUUUGGUCUUGUUAUUGGAAUAUUCUUCACGUAAGUAUAUCAUAGCUAACUGAAUUUAUUUCUAAGUAUUUUUACAGUUUUAUUUCAUAUUUUGACAUUGUGAAUUGGUUUUUUUCUUCUCAUUUGUAAUUAGCUAUUUUUGACAAUAUAGACAACCUAUAGAUUUUUGUAUUUUUAUCUUCUGUCUAAUGAGCUUAUUUAAUCAUUGAAAUUACAGUAGAUUUUUAAGAAUAUAAUAUUUUGGGUUUUCUAGAUAUGAAAUUAUUUCACCUGAACAUAUAGAUCAUUUUAUUUCCUCUUAAUGUUUAUACUGAUUACUGUUACAUUAGCUGGAUUUUUCAAAACAAUGUUGAAGAGUGAUGACAGACGUGACUGUCUUGUUCUUAAUUUUCAUGGAAGUAAGAAUGCAAAAUAUUAAUAGGGAAUAGUAUUCCCUAUUAGUAUGACAUUUACUUUUGGUUAUUAGUAGGUAGUCAUUAACAUGUUUAAGAGUUUCCGCUAUUCCUGUUUUAUAGUGUUAUUGCUAGAAGUGGUUCCUGAAUUUUAUAAAAUGCCUUUUCAGCAUCUAUUGAUAAAAUUGUAUGAUUUUUUUUCUCUUUAAUUUGUUGAUGUAAUGAAUUAGAAUGGUAGGCAUUUGAUGUGGAACCAAACUUGUAUUUCUGGAACAAAUACUACUUGGUCAUUGUGAAAUAAUGAUUUGCUACAUGAGUGGAUUUUAUUUACCAGUAUUUAAUUUAGAAUUAUUGCAUUUUCAUUCCAAAGUAAAAUUGUAUUUUGUCCUUCUGAUGCUAUCUUUAUCAAGUUUUGUUAUUGAAGUUGUGCUAGCUUUAAAAAAAUAUGAAUAUGUGAGUUUUCAAUUUUUUUCCUGUGGUCUGGAAUAAUUUAAAUAGCAUUAGAAUUAUUUGUUUGUUAAAAGUUAGCUAGGACAAAGUGUAAAACAAUCUAAUCCUGAUGACACUUUUAAUAGUAGAUUUUUAAUCAGCUUUGUGAUUUCUUUAAUAGUUAUUGGUUUAUUCAGGCUUUUUAUUAAAAAGGUAUAUACAUUCUCUGUGACAUACAAAGUUAAAAGUUCUCUAUUAUUGCUGAUUGUACUGGUUGUUGCUUGUUGACUGUACUAUUCAGAUGGCUUUAUGCUUUUGUGUAUUUUAUGUCACCUAGAUCUAAUUCUGAAAACAUUGUAAUAAAAUAAUUAGCUAUAAUGGUAUUUUCAAUUAUCUUUGUAUUUUAUUUAUCAAAAUUAAAUCAAAAUAUAGGAAAGUAUGAAAGAUAUGACAAACAUUUUCUCACCUCCACCCAAAAUUAAUAAGUGUCAACAUUUUGGCCUAUUUGAUAUAGAUAGAGAUAUAUAUUAUUAAACAGUCAGAAAAUUACAGAUAAUAAAUAUCUUUCCCAGUACCAUCCCACUUCCAUUCUUUGAAUAGGCAGACACUGUAAUUAAUUUGGUAUGAUUCUUGCCCAUGUUUUAUGUUUUUACUACAUAUUAUCACCAUAACUGAUAAUAGUAUUGAUUUUUAUGUUUUUUUUUUUUUUAAAUUUCCCCAUGAAUGAUGAACUUUAAACCAUGUGGAGUUUAUUUUAUGUUUUGUUGUAAGGAUCUGUGUUUCUCCAGUGGAAAAACAGAUUGCAACAACACAACCAAUAGGACUGACCUUAGAAUGCUAGUUACUGUUUCAGGCACUUUUACCACUCCUGAUACGCAGAGAGGCGUGGCCCUAACUGAGGCCCUGAGGUUUCAAUUAAAAUGACAAAAAUCUCAGUUCUCACAGAGCUUGCUUUCUUGUUAAUGGGAGGCAUAUACCCGCCACCCACCCCUGAUGUUUAGGCCAGACAUAGGCCCUAUGUUGUCUUACGAUGAUUUUGGUGUUAUUCCACAUUCUGACACUCAGAGGGAGGCUAGCUCUAAUCCUGCCAUUGUUUCAAGUGUUUGGGACAUAGCAGAUCAAACAAAAAUCUUCCUUUCUUAGACAAUGAUAACAACAACAUACAUAAAUAUUAUUGCUUCCUAGUUCCUGUUCUCCCACUAGGCCCUAAGUCCUGAACCAUGCAUUAUAUUGUUCCCAUUGAUGAUGGUUGGGGCUGGGAGAUAGAACAGUGAACUAUCUAGACAAAAUCACUACUGCUUUAGAGCAUACAUCCUAAAGGAGUAAGGAAGACAGCCAUCACCAUUCUUACAUCCCUGGCCCUUAGGCUUUAUAUUGUCUCAUAGGAAUUUGGGGAUAUCCCACAAUGUGCCACUCAGAGCAAGAUUUGACCCUAGUUCUGACUCCUAUAGAUUGAGGAUAUGAAAGUGAGAUAGAUGAAGUCAAAAUGAACAUUCAAGCCUACAUAGCUUCAGAAUUCCACUGUAUAUUCUGAAAUGAUAUGGCAAAAAUGUCAGAGACUAGAGCAAAGAAUGCUGGCUAGAAGAUUACAGGAGUAAGUCAGACAGAAAUUUUUAGUUAAUAAUUUUAGAAAUGCAUAUUAAGGUGCAUUGUGAGGGAGAGUUAACAUUGUAGCUGAUUAAUUUUGUAAGGAAACUGACUAUGUAGUAAUCAAAGGCCUCCAGGAUUAUGAGUUAUCUGCAAAAAUCAGAGAGUUAAUGUACGGGAACGGACAAGAUUUUAAGAGUCAGUUUAAAACAAAACACAAGAAUAAGGGCUAGAUAAGUAAGUAUAGGUGUACAGUGAUCAUACUUUUUCUCCAUUUUAGUCUGUAUCUAAAUAGGCUCAAAAAAGUGAAUGAAGUGUGAAAUGUCUACAUUGUCUAUUGUUUGGACAAAAUAUUUUCUUUAAAGAUAGAAAAAAGUUUGCUAUCUGUAAAUUGGCUAUUUCACUGAACUAAUUAAUUCUAAGUAUGGAUUUCUUUUUUUUUUUUUAAACAGUGUCCUGCUCUGUCAUCCAGGUUGAAGUGCAGUGGGCGAUCAUGGCUCACGGCAGCCUCGACCUCCCAAGAUCAAGCAAUCCUCCCACCUCAGCCUCUUGAGUAGCUGGGAGUACAGGCACAAGCUACCAUGCCCAGCUAAUUUUUGAUAUUUUAUAAAGAUGAGGUUUCGCCAUGUUGCCCUGGCUGGUCUCGAACUCGAGCUCAAGGCAAUCCACCUGCCUCAGCCUCCCAAAGUGUUGGUAUUACAGGUGUGAGCAACUAUGCUUAGCCCUGGUUUUACUUUUAACUGUAUGACCUAUAUUCAGGACUUUUGAAAAUGUAAAGAAUCCAUGUUUUCUCUCCUUCACAAAUUUUCCACAUGCAUCCUUCAUUCUCUUGUUGACUGUUCAUACCAUAAAAGAUUUAGGUUCAUUUUUAAAGACAUCUAGAUAACUGCAAAAGGAAGUGACAUUAGCGCUUCUCAUAAAUCAGGGUUUCUGGUAUGAUUACUUUGAUUAGUACUUGUUUAUUUAAUCAUUCAUUUAUUUAUGAAAUAAUAACCCAGGAUCCUCUGACAAAAUGUGCAAGAUGUUUUUCUGGGUGCCAUGCUGGGAAACCAAGAUGAAUAACACAUGGUCUUUUAUAUGUUCUUUUAUGGCCUUCAAAUCAAUAGCAGAGACAAAAAGUUGCCUUUAAAGCAAUAGCAGAGGCAAAAGAUGGGUAUAAAACCCUGUAUAACAACGUAAAAAGAAUGUGAUAAAUGUUAUUUAAAGGGUCACAGGGGUACAUAUAUACUGUUAAUUCAGGUGACAGAGAGAGAGCUCAUUUCAUAGAAGUUGAUAUUAAUCUUCAUUAUGUUACACAAGCAAGAGGGUUUCUAAGUUGAUGAUUUCAUAGUACCAACAUAGCAAAUUAUAUAUAU
rnacentral:lncRNA from 1 species